rfam:Byssochlamys spectabilis No. 5 DNA, contig: PVAR5_00005_7.
GGCCGGCUGGCCUAGUGGUAAGGCAUCCGUUUCCGGUGCGGGAGAUCGCAGGUUCGAUCCCUGCGUCGGUCG